AAUCUGAUGGAUUGCUUAUAUGCUUUCUGAUGGCUGAGUUAAAAUCCUUUUCAGAUCAUUCCAGCAUUGGAUUCAACUGAUGUUGAUUGACAGAGGAAGGGCAGAGGCUAUUAGGACAACUCAUCUCCUACAAUAUUAAAAACACCCUGGCAGGCUUCACCAGGUCACAAGAAGGACCCGCCGGAGCUGGGAGUGGGAAGAGCAGCUGUGGUGGUGGUUCGCAGACAGUCUUUCUGCAGAAUUGACUAGAAGACAGACAUCGCAUCAGCAAGUGGGGCCAGUAAUGUAGAAGACAGUGUGACAAAACUGAUGGAUCUUCACUGCAAAACUGGAGAGCUGGUACAGGAUUUCUCCGUUCUUUAGUCUGAGCAUAACGACUACCAUGAACUAGACAGACUCUACUGCAGCUUCUCAGAAAGUGCUGCUGUCACCUCCACUUCCAAUCCAAUGUGUUGUAUGGAUGAAUGUGAGCGUUAUUCAGGCACUUUCCCCUAUGUCAUGUCCUUUGAUCUUCAUCACAUUCUACCUCUCAGCUCGUUAUUUCUAAUAACAGGAAACUCAGCCUGGGAACAGUCACCUAGCUAAAUAAAUGAUCAAACCAAGACUUUGGGUUGGCCUUCCUCUUUUUCCCAGCUAAGGGAAGGUUCCCGGGGGUGGACACAUGAUACAAGAGCCCAGGGAAGCAGGUUUCCCCCAUAUUUCUCAUGCCAUUUUCUCCUCAUUGCAGACGUAUGCUGAUUUCACAC